rnacentral:rRNA from 1 species
UGACCUCAAAUCAGGUAGGACUACCCGCUGAACUUAAGCAUAUCAAUAAGCGGAGGAAAAGAAACUAACAAGGAUUCCCCUAGUAACUGCGAGUGAAGCGGGAAAAGCUCAAAUUUUGAAUCUGGCGGUCUUCACAGGCCGUCCGAGUUGUAAUCUAGAGAAGCGUCUUCCGCGCUGGACCGUGUACAAGUCUCCUGA